GUAAUACUUCCUCCGUCCGAAAAUACUUGUCAUCAAAAUGGAUAAAAGAGAUGUAUUUAGAACUAAAAUACAUCUAGAUACAUCCCUUUUUAUUUAUUUUGAUGACAAGUAUUUUCAAACGAAGGAAGUAGCAG
rfam:Triticum urartu cultivar G1812 contig154440, whole genome shotgun sequence.